CCUCUUUCCAACCUCCACGUAAACUGUUGAACACCGAAUAAAAAAUAGCAAGUGAAAAGUUCGUCAAUUACGGACAACAAGGUUAUCGUAUGCACAUACACACAGUGCAUCACGAGACAGGAUAUGAAUGUCUUUAGACGAGUUUCCUUUCACUGCUUGAAUAAAAACCAGUGGCACAUCAUGUAAAGAAUGACGUUGCCAAAAAUGCGACUCUUGAAAACUCCUGACCGGGCCACUCUAUGCAUCGUACGAUAAACUGUUUGAGUUUACAUGACCGUCUGUGUUUUCCCUUCGACGAGGCAUGGUUAUCAAUUUCCAUCGGACAUUGGAAAAAUAUUAUUCCAACUCGAGGCCAGAUUGUUACUACGCAGCCAGGCGAAAUUCCGAGGGGAUGAUUUUUUAAGCCAGUUUUCACACUUAGAAAUUUCGGAGCCAUUGAGAUAAACGAGGCGAUGUUGAUAUGAAACGUAAAAUGAAAAAGGAAAUGCCUACUUUGUACUGAAGCCUAGAUCCUGUCACGGAAACAAGUUAAAUCACUGGUAUCUAGUGCAUUGCGUUCGAUUUUUUGUCAUCACUAGGUUGUGAUAAAGAUUACAACUACGUACAGUUAAAUCGGGGGCGAGAUUUUAGCUGUUUUACUUCAUGGUUAUCGGCUGUGCUAUGCAAAAACAUAACGUACACGUACAUAAUGCUACGAGAAUGGCGCCAACAUUCCCAUCUGACGACGUAUAUGCGCUGUAAAAUGUUGGAUCGCGUCGCACUCGGGUGCCGAUAACGGCCGUGCGUGUGGGUGGUGUGCUACAUAGGGAAUAUAAGACUGAAUCGGUGGCGGAGAACGCAAGUCCGAUGUAUAAUGUAGGUAAAUUCUAACGGCGUGCAGGAAUGUCGCAUAAUUCAGCUAUUAAUUGACGCCUGAUUGCCACUCAUGCAAAUCCGAUUAAUGGAAGCGGUGAUUGUCGAGAAAUAAAUGUUUCUCAGCUGCGUGUAGAGUUGUUGCCUUUGACAUUUUCAGCGUUGUUCAUUCGAUGAAAAUCGGCCUUUCCAUCGUCCUUUGGUUGGUCGUUAAUUGGCGCCACUGGAACUAAACUAUUUAUAAUCGCGCCGUUUAUGACCGAUGUAUUUUCAUGGGCGCAAAAAGCGGAAAUAGGUUUAUGAGUUCGAUAUCAAUUUCGCGAACGUCACGAUUGAACAUAGGCUACGUGAUUUACUGAUUGCUCUCGCCACGCGUACCACGCAUAAUUUAUUUUACAGCCCCGUAAUUCACGUCGUCCACUCGAAUUUACUGAUAUAGGCUAUCCACUCGGACAUGCCGCUUUUGGAUGAUGAAAUAAAUUUUG